AACGAACGCUGGCGGCAGGCUUAACACAUGCAAGUCGAACGCACCUUUCGGGGUGAGUGGCAGACGGGUGAGUAACGCGUGGGAAUCUACCCUUCUCUACGGGAUAGCUCCGGGAAACUGGAAUUAAUACCGUAUACGUCCUGAGGGAGAAAGAUUUAUCGGGGAAGGAUGAGCCCGCGUUGGAUUCGCUAGUUGGUGGGGUAAAGGCCUACCAAGGCGACGAUCCAUAGCUGGUCUAAGAGGAUGAUCAGCCACAUUGGGACUGAGACACGGCCCAAACUCCUACGGGAGGCAGCAGUGGGGAAUAUUGGAAAAUGGGCGCAAGCCUGAUCCAGCCAUGCCGCGUGAGUGAUGAAGGCCCUAGGGUUGUAAAGCUCUUUCAGUGGGGACGAUAAUGACGGUACCCACAGAAGAAGCCCCGGCUAACUUCGUG
rnacentral:rRNA from 1 species